rnacentral:lncRNA from 1 species
GACGAAGCAAUAGUUAUAGUGAUGGUGGACAAAGAAGGCGUUGAGAGGAGGCGUUGCGUUCGUGUUCGAAACUCUUCUCGGCAACUAUUCUCAACGUAGCAACGGACAGAACGAAGCUAUGGAGAUGGUGGUGGACAAAGAACGCACAGAGAACGCAGCAAUGGUGGAGAUGGUGGUGGAAGAACGAAGACGUUGAGAGGAGGCGAAAGUCGAAAGUGUUCGAAACUGCUCUAAAAACCAAAAUGAAACCGCCAAUUGCAAAUUGAUGUUCAAACAAUCAUUAUUCCAGUUCUGCCCCUGCCAGUUUAUUAAAUAAAACGUUUUAGUAAAUAAAAAAUCAGCCAAUAAUAAUUUGACACCUGGACGGUGUCAAAUUUGUGUCAAAUCCUGGUGUCAAACAAACAUUUUUCUUUUGGGAAAUCACUACUGGUGCAGCACUGUGACACAAUUCAAAGA